AUGGUGAAACUAAAGCAAGUUGAGAGAACACCAAAACAAGAUCACCGCAUGCUUAGAAAAUACAACGAAAGUGUGAAAGGAAUUGGAUGGACUUGCUUAGAAAACAAACCUCCAAACCACUGUUAAAAAGGCAAUGACCUACCACGACCACUGCAUAUAAAAAAUAAUCUUUAUUUUCAAUACAGAAAAUUUAAGUAAAAUGUAAAGAAAAUCAUUCUUACAGGGGCAGUGAAUGACUAAGACAGAUCACUGUAUCUCUCCUUUAAACACCUCUUUGGGAUGCACUGGUCUUAGGAGCACAGCCCUUCCACUGACCUUCUGUUACAGGGUCCUCCACCCAAGCAACCUUAAAUAUAGGUCUUUGGGCAUGUGCAGGAGGAAAUGCUUCACUUGUCCUGCCUGAACAUGGGAAGUUCAAGUCAUUCCCAUCUUGCCAUAAGAAGGCAAAGAAGGAGCUCUUGACUGACAUCAUGGAGCACAUGUCCCACAACCAGAAGUCUGUUACACACCAGAAAGCUUUGCUGCCACUCAGCAAGACCCAGACAGACAGACAGUUAGGCGGAGAGAAAGCUGAUGAGGUUCAGGAAGAGCAAACACAGGGUCCUGCACCUGGGGAGGAUUAACUGCACGAACCAGUUCAGAUUAGGGGCUGACCCCCUUGGAAAGGAGCUCUGCAGAUCAGGACCUGGGUGUCCUGGAGGUAAUGGGUUGGCGAUGAGUCAGCAGUGUGCCCUGGUGGCCAGGAAGGCCAAUGGUAUCCUGGAGUGCAUUAAAAGGAGUGCAGUCAGCAGGUCAAGAGAGGUGAUCCUCCUCCUCUACUGUGCCCUAGUCAGGCCUAACCUGAAGUACUGUAUCCAGGCCAAACAAAAGAGAACAAAAGGUAGAUUUAGAUUAGAUCAGACAUGAGGAAGAAAGUCCUCAUUAUGAGGGUGGUGAGGUUCUGGAACAGCUUGCCUAGAGAAGUUGUGGAUGUCCUAUUCUUAGAAGUUUUCAAGGCCAGACUAGAUGGGACUUUGGGAAGGUGGCCUGAAACUUGAUGGUCUUUAAAGUCCAUGAUUCUAUGCUCAGUGCAAGGAGGUUUCCAGUUCUGGAUUAAAAAUGUAAAAUGUGAAUAGAAUCCUUGCUGUGGUUGCACCUUUACCAGCUCUGACCCCAGAGUAACUACUGUCCCAGAACAUAGCAAAGUAACAGCAUAGGAACUUGUCAAAAAGCAUAGUGCUGGGUACUGGUAAAGGAAAGUAUGAAAGAUUGUGAACACUUUUGAGAAGCCAUAGAAAACAUAACAAUUUAUAUUGCUCCUUCAGAGAAAAUGCAAGUUACUCAAGUAUUAUAGCCCUUCAGUAACAAUCAGAAAUAUCCAGACUGGGAACCUCAGUUCUCCAUCUCAUCUAUUUUGCACACAAAAGAGUAACACUCACAAAGUUAUUCUUUUAAAAGUUUUUGUGUUGAAAAAGCUAAGAGCUGACACCUUUCAGAACAAGUCUGAACAUUUCAGUUGCGUUUCACCUCAAAAGAGUUUCCAACUGUGAACUGCACUUAUUUCAUUUACUCAGACAGGAUGACAGAGCUUUCCUAAGUAUUAAAGGAUGUUAAUACUUGUUUUGAUCCAACCUCCUUUAAGCACAGCCAUUAAUGCAGAUAAAAACUGCUCCUUUCUCCAUUCAAGACAUAGUUUAACACUGCAAUUAUCAGCUACUGUAUCCAAAGAGCUCUUGAGGUCUCAAGGUUACGGUCAAACCGAAAUGUCAUGUUCCUGGAAGAGCUGCACAGAACUCUGCACAAUCCAUACAGACAAAUACAUUUUAUGUCAAUGAACUUUGAGCAAACUUCAAAGUUCCACAGCAGAUAUAACUGCAGCAUUCAUCUGGCUCAGUCACCAUCUCCAAUCUCAAUGCAGUUCUGGCUUCUUUUGUUUGCUAACAAUCCCUUCUCUCCCCUUCCUCCAUAGUUUCCAUUAUUCUUGAUCAUUUUAUUCUUCAAUUGCAAAACAAACAAACAAACAAACAAAUGUCAAUGAUGUGGAAGGCACUGAUACCUACUCAUAACCAUUCAGCAGAAAAAUAUAAGGGCUCAGAGCAAUCAAGCUAUGCACACAGCUCACUUGUACAAUCAUCUGGUUUCCUCUGGGGGAACUUACACCUUCCUUCUUCUCUUUAGUUAUGAAAACAUAUUGCAUUUCCUUUUAAAUUACACUGUAAGCCCUUUGAGGCACAGAUUGUUUUGCAAAAUGCUGUAGAAUGGUAGCCCACUGCCACAACCCUGUGUGAGCCCCCUGGACGCUGCUGUAAUAAAAAGAACAUAUUAUUUCUCCUCAUCUCUUGCCUUAUUUUAGAGAGUUUCUUUCUCUUUUGGGCUUCUGCAAAUAACUAAGGAAAAAAAAAAAACAACAGUUCAAAAGAAAAAAAACAAGUGCACCUCAGCUGACUGUGGCAAUAAAGAAGAUAAAAAUAUGCUAUUGUAACUUGAACCAGGUAAUAGCAGGGCUGUUUUCAUCUCUUGCAUCUUCCUUCCAAUUCUCUUUAUCAUUUUAGGUAUCUUGUAAAUAGCUUCACCACAAAUGCAAACUCAAGUAUGCGAAUUGCCCUAUUAAUUUUAAUGGCAUCAGAUCACAUAUUUCUAGUUACAGAGAUGCUAUACGGACACUCCCUCCCUCCCCAAUUUUCACAUGGCUCUGAGUAAGGGGUCAGCAGUUUGCAGGUUUGAGUACUGAACUCUAAAUAAUGAAUUAUCAUUUUGCUACAAAAUCUACCUUGACCAGUAGUAGUGGUGCAUUGGUAACAAGCUGAAAAAAACAAAACGUUUUUUGUAAUAAGCCAUGAAAUAAAAUAAGUAUUCUGAAGUUAAUAAAACCCAGAAUCAAGACUGUAUCUCUCAUUCCACCUUCAUGCCAAUCUUAAACUACAUUUAGUCAUGUAACUUCUUCUAUUGAGUCCUUCCUCAUUCAAAGUAGGUAACAGAUUAUACCGAUAAUUUUCACUACACACUACCCCACUUUUUUUUUUUUUUUUUUAUUCUCAUCAGUAAAUGGAGUUCUCAGGGGUGUAUAAUCCUUACUUUGCUUCUACUGUAUAUGCAUAUGCCAUAAACACUCCAUCAUGAGGACUUCUGAACUGCAGUGUUCCAGCAGACGUGGAAGAAAGGCAAAUCAAGGAGGGAGGAACAUUAACAUGCACUCAACUGCUCUGUUACAGGACAACCUGAAGCAAGUCCUGGACUACACAGUAGCAGCACCCAAGUGACAAGACACCACUCAUCUAGGAGCUUCUACUGUCUCCACAUUGCAGAGGCACGACUGAAGCUGGAGACAACUGCUGAGCAUGUAGAACUGAGAACUGACACAGCGCCCCCAUAAGCAACUUCUAAUUUGAGGUGACCAAGCUGAGAGACCUUCCAGCUUCGAGUUGGACAAGAAGGGCACUGUCAGACAGACUUAGCUUUAGGCAUGUUAUAAAGAAGGAUUUUUUUUUAAAUCACAUUAAAAAUGCUUGGCAAAGAAAAGGAUGUGGGGAAGAAAACUAGUAUAUAGCUGCGCUGGUUGUGAUGAAAAUCUGAUAUGAGUUAGCAGAAACUGCAACCUGAUGGGCUUUAUCUAACACUUGUCCCUACCUCUGGUUUCCUGUGGCAUUCACCACUACAACUGGGAAGUUCCUAAAUAUUAAUGCAUCACCUUGUCCCUACGAAGCGACAGGACUGUUUUAUCACCAUAGGCAUGCAUGGCACAGCACAGAAGGAGUAUGUUAACUAACAAACUGUAAGAUUCAGAGAACUAAUCUGA